GGAGCCGAAGUCAGUCGAAGAUACCAGCUGGCUGCAACUGUUUAUUAAAAACACAGCACUGUGCAAACACGAAAGUGGACGUAUACGGUGUGACGCCUGCCCGGUGCCGGAAGGUUAAUUGAUGGGGUUAUGGGUAACCAGAAGCUCCUGAUCGAAGCCCCGGUAAACGGCGGCCGUAACUAUAACGGUCCUAAGGUAGCGAAAUUCCUUGUCGGGUAAGUUCCGACCUGCACGAAUGGCGUAAUGAUGGCCAGGCUGUCUCCACCCGGGACUCAGUGAAAUUGAACUCGCUGUGAAGAUGCAGUGUACCCGCGGCAAGACGGAAAGACCCCGUGAACCUUUACUAUAGCUUGACACUGAACACUGGUCCUUGAUGUGUAGGAUAGGUGGGAGGCUUUGAAGCGUGGACGCCAGUACACGUGGAGCCGUCCUUGAAAUACCACCCUUUAAUGGCUGGUGUUCUAACCCAGACCCGUAAUCCGGGUCGGGGACAGUGUCUGGUGGGUAGUUUGACUGGGGCGGUCUCCUCCCAAAGAGUAACGGAGGAGCACGAAGGUUGGCUAAUCCUGGUCGGACAUCAGGAGGUUAGUGCAAUGGCAUAAGCCAGCUUGACUGCGAGCGUGACGGCGCGAGCAGGUGCGAAAGCAGGUCAUAGUGAUCCGGUGGUUCUGAAUGGAAGGGCCAUCGCUCAACGGAUAAAAGGUACUCCGGGGAUAACAGGCUGAUACCGCCCAAGAGUUCAUAUCGACGGCGGUGUUUGGCACCUCGAUGUCGGCUCAUCACAUCCUGGGGCUGAAGUAGGUCCCAAGGGUAUGGCUGUUCGCCAUUUAAAGUGGUACGCGAGCUGGGUUUAGAACGUCGUGAGACAGUUCGGUCCCUAUCUGCCGUGGGCGCUGGAGAACUGAGGGGGGCUGCUCCUAGUACGAGAGGACCGGAGUGGACGCAUCACUGGUGUUCGGGUUGUCAUGCCAAUGGCACUGCCCGGUAGCUACAUGCUGAAGAGAUAAGUGCUGAAAGCAUCUAAGCACGNNNNNNNNNNGGACACAGAAAGUGCGGCGACGACGCAACCGGCGUGAGCAA
rnacentral:rRNA from 1 species